ensembl:lncRNA
GCAUAGCAGUUUCCUUUAAUUCUGCAUACGUGUGUGUGUGUGUGUGUGUGUGUGUGUGUGUGUGUGUGUGUGUGUGUGUGUGUGAAUGUCACAGGGUGAACUUCCUGUUUCUAGAAACAGAGCUGUGGGUGUUGUAACUGUGCAAGAGAAACCCAGUGCGUGCUUCCGAUGCAGGGAAAACCAAUUCUGCAGGGGAGACCUACCUUGGCACUUGCGCAGGUGAAGCCAAAGGGAAGAUAUGCUUCACCAUAUUUUCUAGUCUUUGGCUUAGAAGAAAGAUGGUUUGGAAACAUAUUUGGCGAUGCUUCAUCUCCUGCUUUGCGUUUGUGUGGAAGCCUUGUCAAAAACCUGUCAAACCUGUCAAAAGCUGUGUCCAAGCGUUCUUUUUUUAUUUUUUUAUUUCUCUUUUCAUACCCCCCCCCCCACACACACACACACACAAUGGCUCUGCGUCCCCCCCUAGGGGAUAGGCCCCACACUUUGGGUACCUCUGCCUCAAAAGGUUGAUUCUGUUCAUCUGGACGUUUUCAGUGGGAGAAACAUUUGAUCACUUAUCCAAGUGACUUCUUCAGUCUCAGCUGAUUUCAGGUUUCCCCAAUCUUAUAAACAGUACAUUUCCACAAUGACUGAAACUUAGCAGCACUGAAUGAACAAUGGGAUGUGAGCUCAGUUACUUGAUCAAAUUACUUGCAAAUUCUCAUGACCAUUGAUCAAAGAGCAUCGAUCAAUGGUUCUUUGGACUGGUAAGCAGCGGAUGACUUCCUCCACAGCAGAUCUGCUCCUCCAGUCCACACCUCACCUGCAUCUUUUUUAGCAGCAUUGUGGGCUAAAGCAGAGGAACCUGUACCCCCAGUUUCCUUUGCUUCUGUUGCAUCCUCUGGUUUUUCUGCUCCCGCUCCUCUUGGCUUCCUCUGCACUGGUUUCUUAGGCACCUUCUGCAUUCUCUGCUCCCUCAUCAAGGAGGAAAUGGCAUCCUCAUCAUCAACUGUUCUCUCAACCAUUGGCAUCAGCUGCCUUGGUCUGUCUGCUGGCACAGGGCUGACGGAUUACACUGUUUUGAUGCACAAGGGAUCUCUCGAGUGGAAGGUCCAAAUCAGAUGGUAAGUUGCUUGGAGUAGCUUUUGUUUAUUUUUAUAUAAUGAUAUUUUGUUUAUUCUUAAUUGACAGGAGGGUAGGGAGAAAAUCUGCAGUCCAGAUCAGAACGGACAGGCAUCAAAUUGGUGAUCAAUAUACUGGGAACUGCCAAAAUAGGAUGUACUCCGAAAGGGACUUUUACCUUUCUGGCAUUUCACAAUGCACAUGGAAAAAUUUGACCAUCCACAUCUCAACUUUUGUUCUCGCCUUUUCUCAACCUUGCAUGGCUCCAGAGCAGCAAAUUCAGCCACCGAGUUGGAGUUGGUCCCCACCUCUAACACCAAAUGAGAAAAGGACACCUGCUUUGAGCUUUACUGAUGUCAAUCCACCUGAACCACAGAAAAUGAUAGUUCAGCACACAGUGCGGCCUGAUGAUGCAACAACGCAGUUGUACACUUCCCCAAGGCUCAGGCCCUUUUCUUGGCGUUGCCCUCAUUCCUUGAAGGAUAUCAAACAGCCAGACCUCCAGAAGUCAUGGAGGCUUCUAGAAAGCCUCCAUGACUUAUCAUGUCCUGCUAUUGACAUGAUAAGAUACAAGUGUGUACUUGAUUGCCAAGUUUGAAGUUGAAGAUGGGGGAUGACCUCUUUGCAAAGUAUCUCAACACCAUGCAAAACCAAAACCAUAGCGAGGAGUCCUUAGCCUACCUACCAUAACAAGAAAAUCAACCUCUGUGGUAGAAGAGUUCAGGUAGCUGCUCUGCUCUGUGCCAUGGUAUUGAAGAAGAUAACAGUGGAUGAUAUAUAUCCUUAAAUUUAGUUACAGCACUUUCAGAAAGACAUCUACUGUGAUAAAGUCUACUCUCCACUGCUGUGUAAUCAAUUAUUGUAAAUGUAAAUGUUAUCAGGAAAUGAUCAGACAGGAGAGGGUUUUCAGGAAACACUGUUAAAUGUUCAGUUUCUAUGCCAUAUGUUAAAACAAGAUCUAGAGUGUGAUUAAAGUGGUGGGUGGGUUCUUUUACAUUUUGACAGAAGCCAAUUGAGUCUAAUAACAGAUUGAAUGCUGUGUUGAGGCUGUCACUUUUAGCAUCUACGUGAAUGUUAAAAUCACCCACAGUAAUUAUUUUAUCUGAGCUGAGCACUAAAUCAGAUAAAAACUAAGGCCUGAUUAAGGCCCAGGUACAUGAUAGAUAACAACAAAGAAUUCUGUUUUUUUGUAUUAUUGGGGUAGGGUUCAGGCUUAAUGGGUCUUUGGUUGAUUAUUAUCCAGAGUGGAAGACUGCUGUCAGACCACCUCCCCAGCUUUUGCUUUAAAGAUACUAACAGUUAGUUUAACUUGAGGGUGUUGAUUCAUUUAAACUAACAUAGUUAUCAUGCUGUAACAGGUUUCUGUAAGGCAGAGAAAAUUAAUUUGUAGAUCACUUAUGAACUAACAAUGAUUUGGAGGAGAGAGACCUAAUGUUUAAUAUUCCAAAUUUCAAAGUUUUACUCUUGGUGCACUGUGGAGACUAUUGUUCUUUCUUUAUGAAUUUUUAAAAAAUGUAUUUAAAUCGUUUUUUGCUGAUUUUUUGUUUGUUUUAUUUUUAUUUUUUGUUCAUUUGAGAGCAGACAGUCUGUAAGGGGAUGUAAGUGUUUUGGGAGAUAAUAGGAGGAGAAAAGCUGCUUCCGUGUGAGACUGCAACUCUCUAAAUGUUAAGGGUGUCAUGGAAAUUUCCCAACAGCUUGCUGGUAAAGCAGCAGAGCUAAAUUGUGGUUAAUUUUGACCGUGUCCAGCCCUAAAUAUAGGUCUGAAAGAACACUGAACAGUGAAGCAACAAAAAAGAGGACUAGUUGCAUAGCUGGUGACUGCAAUGUGAUUUUAGACAGCAAAUUGAACAAAUUAAACAGUGAUGAGAAACAGAAGUAAAUGUUCUUUGAAAAAUAUCCAACUGCAUUCAUGUAGUGUAAUGAGACUGCUAACCAAAAUAAAAUCUGUCUUUAUUGUGCUUCAGUCAUUGUUUUACCCUGACUACAUUCUUGUCUUAUCAUCCUUUAAAAACACAGAUUGAAUAUUUUCUCUCAUAUUGUCAGAGGCAUUA